rnacentral:rRNA from 1 species
CCUACGUGUGGCUGCAGUGAGGAAUAUUGGGCAAUGGACGAGAGUCUGAACCAGCCAAGUAGCGUGAAGGAUGACUGCCCUAUGGGUGGUAAACUUCUUUUAUAUGGGAAUAAAAUGUUCCACGUGUCGGAUUUUGUAUGUACAAUAUGAAUAAGGAUCCGCUCACUCCGUGCCAGCAGCCGCGGGAAUACGGAGGAGCCGAGCGUUAUCCGGAUUUAUUGGGUGGAAAGGGAGCGUAGUGGGAUUGGUAAGUCAGUUGUGAAAGUUUCGGGCUCAACCGUGAAAUUGCAGUUGAAACUGGGAUUCUUGAGUGCAGUAGAGGUGGGCGGAAUUCGUGGUGUAGCGGUGAAAUGCUUAGAUAUCACGAGGAACACCGGUGGCGAAGGCGGCUCCCUGGACUGCAACUGACGCUGAGGCUCGAAAGUGUGGGUAUCAAACAGGAUUAGAUACCCCUGUAGUC